rnacentral:lncRNA from 1 species
UUUAUAUAAAGAUGCUACCUUAUACUGUAGAACUAUAGAUGCCUUUCAAAAAUCCAUCGAAAAAGCUAGUUUUAAUGUUGCAGAACCCUUUAAUUGAUCGUCUCGACAUCGAGAUGUAUGACUAUGAAAAAUAAAAAGAUUUUAAAUAUAAAAAAUAGUGCAUUUUACAAUAUAUUAUUUACACCGUCUAUUUUCAAUAUUUUUGUAUGUUUAUAGAUCUACCGGAUUUUAACCAUUUUUUAAAGAUAAAAUUUUAUAAGUAGAUAUAAAAAUAGAUUUUGAGAUAAUCCUAAAAACAUUAUAGAUCAAAAUUACAUACAUGAUAAAAUUUGAAGAUACACCUUACCUCUAGCCCUACGGAUAUGCAAACUGCACCCAUAAAAAAAAAAGAAGAAGAUAGCAAGAUCCAAUAGAAAGGGAAAAAAAAAGUAGAGAGGGAAAAGAGAUGAAGAACAGAGCGGAGGAAGAAAAUGCACAGGCCGAGAAGCUUCAGAUUCGGACUAGAAGCUUGGGAUCUAAAGGUGAGCGAAGAAGAUCUGAAAUUCAGAGCGGAUUUCAAAGCAUUCGUUUUUUUUUUGGUUGGUGGUUACAGAUAUUUCAAAGACAGAGUAGGUUUCAAGAAACAACGAGUUUAGAGCGGUUUUCCUUUUAAGAAGACAGAGCUGAGGAAGAAGAUGCACAUACCAAGAAGCUUCAAAUUCGGACGAGGAUCUUCGGAUCUAGAGCUCAGCGAAGAAAAUCAGAGAUUCAGAGUGCAUUUCAGAGCAUGUUUUUUUUUUUUUUUGGUCGAUAUUCCAGAGACAUAAUUUCAGAGCAUGUUUUUUUUUUUUUAUCGAUAUUUCAGAGACAUAGUAGGUUUUAGAAAUAACAGGUGCCCCCCCCCCCCCCUCCCCUUUCCCUUUUAUUUCAGAGACAUUGUAGGUUUUAGAAAUAACAGGUGCCCCCCCACUGCCCUUUUUUUUAGGGCUGGUUUUGGUGGUGGUUUAUGUAGUGUUAUGUUUUAAUAAAUGGGUUUGGGGCUCACACAAAGGAUGGGUAGAGCGUUUGAUCCUAAUAAAAAGGGUUUCAAG